rnacentral:rRNA from 1 species
CCUACGGGAGGCAGCAGUAGGGAAUAUUGCUCAAUGGGGGAAACCCUGAUGCAGCAACGCCGCGUGGAGGAUGAAGGUUUUCGGGUUGUUAACUCCUUUUGUUAGAGAAGAUAAUGACGGUAUCUGACGAAUAAGCACCGGCUAACUCCGUGCCAGCAGCCGCGGUAAUACGGAGGGUGCAAGCGUUACUCGGAAUCACUGUGCGUAAAGAGCGCGUAGGCGGGAUAGCAAGUCAGAUGUGAAAUCCUAUGGCUUAACCAUAGAACUGCAUUUGAAACUGUUAUUCUAGAGUAUGGGAGAGGUAGGUGGAAUUCUUGGUGUAGGGGUAAAAUCCGUAGAGAUCAAGAGGAAGACUCAUUGCGAAGGCGACCUGCUAGAACAUAACUGACGCUGAGGCGCGAAAGCGUGGGGAGCAAACAGGAUUAGAUACCCGAGUAGUC